CCUACGGGUGGCAGCAGUGAGGAAUAUUGCUCAAUGGGCGCUAGCCUGAUCCAGCGACGUCGCGUGAAGGAUGACUGCCCUCUGGGUUGUAAGCUUCUUUUAUAUGGGAAUAAUGUGCAGUUUGUAUACUGCUUUGCAUGUACCUUAUGAAUCAGGAUCGACUAACUCCGUGCCAGCAGCCGCAGUAAUACGGAGGAGUCGAGCGUUAUCCGGAUUUAUUGGGUUUAAAGGGAGCGUAGGCGGGUUGUUAAGUCAGUUGUGAAAGUUUGCGGCUCAACCGUAAAAUUGCCGUUGAAACUGGAAGACUUGAGUGUGGGUGAGGUAGGCGGAAUGCGUGGUGUAGCGGUGAAAUGCAUAGAUAUCACGAAGAACUCCGGUUGCGAAGGCAGCUUACUAAGCCAUAACUGACACUGAAGCACGAAAGCGUGGGGAUCAAACAGGAUUAGAUACCCGAGUAGUC
rnacentral:rRNA from 1 species